rnacentral:rRNA from 1 species
AAACAUUUCUAUUAAAUUAACUAAUAGUAAAAUCUGCUCAAUGAAAGUUAAAUAGCCGCAACACGUGCUAAGGUAGUAUAAUAAUUUGUCUUAUAAUUAAAGACUAAUCAAAAGAUUUAACAUUUUUUUUAAUAUUAAACAUUUAAACAUAUAAACUCUUCUAAUUAUUAAAAAAUAAUUAUUUCCUAAAAAGACGACAAGACCCUAUUGAACUUAACUUCAGUUAAACUGGGGUAGUUGAUUAAAUAUAUCUUAAUAUUAAUUUGAUUUUAUAAGACCUAAUAUAAUUAAUUUAAAGAUUAAGUUACCAUAGGGAUAACAGCGCAAUAAUUCUUAAAAUUCUAUUUUAAAAAUAAAUUACGACCUCGAUGUUGAAUUAAUUUCCUAAUUUACGCAAUAGUAAAAAAAGUAAGUCUGUUCGACUUUUAAAAAAUUACAUGAUCUGAGUUCAAAACCGGAGA